CCAUGACUCAGUCAGUUGAAAUGAAUCCUAGUUUUGAGUUUUGAAGAUAUUGAGCUAGGAGCUGAGCGAGAGAAAUCAAUUGAAGCGAUAUUGUUGGUUUUACUCUGGUUCAUGUACUGGAGAAGCUUUUUGGUACAGUAGCAGUAGCCUUGGAGUCUCGGUUUUUGUUUUUGGAAAAUAUUUUUAUUGUUUAAUUUUGGUGUUUUAAAAUUAUUUUUAUUUAUAUUUUGCUUUUCUUUACUUUUGAUGUGAGCAGCGAAGAAGCGUACAGGCACAGGCUCUUUAAUUAUGGCAGCGUGCGCCGUUAACGGAAAAGAACAAAUUAAAUUAACGGCACCAACACCAAAAGGGAGAAAAAGUGGUCGCUGCUUCGGCAGUUCAGGUGCUUGCAGUGAGUGAGUAGAUACGCUGAAGUGGUACCAUGUAUUUCUUCCGUGGACAGCCAAGAAUCUAAUAUCUAGGCCGUCCGAUGUUGCCGGCAGUAGAGCAUAUACUUUUCCUUAAAAAAUAUAAAAAUAAAUCGGAUGAUAGAAAAGAAAAGAAAGCAAAUCUGCUAAAUAAAGACGUUAUCGCCUUGUCAUGCCCCCAGUUGAGACCACGUAAUAAUAAUAACAAUAAUAGUGAUACGAUUUUGG
rnacentral:lncRNA from 1 species